CGCGCCCGCGCCGCAAGCCGCGCCCCCCGCGCUCGUCAAGCACGACUCCUACCCGCAGUAUCCCAAGAACCGGCGCUCGCGGACGCAGGACCACGAGGUGGGCUCGCUGCUCAUCCGCGCCGUCACUCUGGUGGAGCGGCCCGAGGCGCCGGCGCAGGCGCGCGCGUCUCACACGCCCGCCGUGCGCGCCGGCCCGCCGCUCAGCUGCAACUUCUGCUGGAACACCGUGGACGAGUGCGGCCGCAUCCUGCGCCGCAAGACCCAGUACCACUGUCCCGAGUGCCGCACCAACCUCUGCAUCGUGCCCUGCUUCCACGAGUACCACGACGGGCCCGAGGCAGACGCCCCGAGCGCCAGGUGAACGCCCCGCUCGGCCCUCGCGGACUCACAGCUACCAAUCCGACGCGAGAGCUUGGCAUUCUCAGCCAUCUCAACUGACGUCAACACAAAAAUAUUGCUUAAACCAUCUCCCUAAAUUAACGGGAAAUUAAGUCAUAGGCAAAUCUAACAAUUUCCAUGUCUUGUUUUGGAAUGUUUUCAUAUUCAUUCGGAUGAUGAUUUGACAUCGGGAAACGUACAAUUUCUAUGCUAGAGGGAAUGAUAAACAUUUUAAAAUUAUCAAAAUAACCAACUUUUUGGACUAAUUUUAGUAGCUUUUCUAGGUGUUAUUGAAUAACUCGAUUGAGUAUUAUGAAGUAUUUCAAUUUCCAGUACAUUGUAUGUACUAUACUUUUUCAUAUUGCGCGCGUGUCGUGUAUAUUAAGGAGUAUGCCUUUAAGAUUUGUCUCUUGCUAUGAUUGAGGACCUAAUCCCGCGAUGGAGCAUUGAUAUUGAUAUACCUACAAAUUGAAUUUGAUAUGUUUUUACACGUGUUAUAAUGUACUGUCUGAGGAUGCAGGCCAACUCAUUCGUCCAGUUUGGAUAUUUAAAAUGUUUUUGAUGUAAUUAAUGCUCGAACAGUUAAUUGCGGGUGGGUCCCAGCUUAAAGCUGAUUGUAAAUAGUAGCCUGAAUUAGGAGUAAUUUGACGUUUUUGAAACGUGUGUUAGCUCGUAAGUAAAAUGAGAGUUUUGAAGCGCACUAAACUGAAAAGCCAUAACAUUGAGAUAUAUUUAAAAAUUGAUAACACGUUAUCGAAGGAUCUUGUGAGUGUGCAAUUUAUGAAAAUAGGUAUUUACAAAUACAGAAUAUUUUUUUUUCUUAUAAAUGAAAAUAGCACAUUUUAUGGUAUGGAGCUAUAUUUUUAUAUUGCAGAGUAUACGUGUACCUACUGUACAAGCUAUGAAUUCGAUAUUGCCAAUAUUUAAUAAUAUUACCAUUAAGGUUCUGUGAUGAUAUUGUGGCUUGAUUAGGUGCCAGAGUGUGAAUGUCUUUAAGAUGUUAUUGUUAGAAUAGGAGCACUUUUUGAUAAAAAUAUAAAAGCUAUAUUAACUACAAAGUUACAAACACGGAAGCAAUCUAUUUUCAACAAAUACCGUAGCGUUUAUUAAAAUAAUAUUGUAUAUAAAGUGUAUCUAUAUGACAUGCCAAUAUUGGACCCCAAGCGAGAAUGAUAUUUGUAUUUUUGUAUAGCACACACUAUGUAGUAGCAUAUUACUAGUGUGAAAUUUCAAGCUUUGACAGCGAUUUUCUGGUAAUUUUUUAUAACAAGAAUUUAAAUAAUGUUGAUUGGAUAGCGCAUUUUCGUGCUAAACUUUCAAAUGUUAAGUUUAGAGCAUUUGUGGUACAAAUCUUGUGCAUCAAAGGUUUCAAAAAGAAGGCAAUGAGGUGCCCUCAGUUAUUGUAAUGAUUAAAUAAUACAGAUUUUCCAAAUUGCUCGUAAUGGCAAAAGUUUUUGAUCUUCUUCGAUCUUCUGUAUUAAUUAAUUAAUUACUUCUUUGAAGCCGGAAGGCAUGUAUCUAUAAUUUAAAUAUUUAUAAACAUCCAUUUUUUUCUGUAGGUGCUGUUUUCUACCUCUUCCUAAGCGGUGCUUAAUUUAUAUUGUACAUUUUCCUUCAUUUUCCCGAAGUAUUAUACUUAAGUUUAAGAUAUUCUAUAUUAUGAGCCAUGACAAAGGCAUUUUGAGUAUUUUACUUUGUACAGGGUGUUGUUGGCAAAAUGAUGACUUGCUAACGCGUACCUCAAGCGGUUAUAGCAUGGCAUAUGUCAAUCAAAUUAAGUAUUCUUUAUUCUUCAGCAUAUAAUAAUAUUAGGUAGUUUAUAUUACGUCUAUAAUUUAUUCAAACAUUAAUUGAAUGUAGAACUAUAUUACAUUACCGUGCAGACAUGAAAUACGAGCCUUAUUAUUUUAUUCUUUCAUGAAACUCAACUAAAUAGAAUUAACAAACUCGCUUGGCUACUAGGGAAUGACAGACAUGACAAAAACUAUUUUUAGAUUUGCUAUUUCUAAAUUAUUUAAGUAUCGAUGUCUAUGCUCAAAUUAAAUUAUUAUCACUUAAUUUUUGUUUCAAAAGAAACCCUAUUUAGGGUUCCAUAUUUUCAAUGUAUUAAUGAGAAGGAUAAAAAUGAUGGUAUUUUGGAACUAACGUACAAAAUAUAGGUUAAAGUUAGUUACACCAUGUACAAAAUGUAACUUCUAAGCAAUCAUUUAACAUUUUCAAUUUGAAUAAACAGAAUACUACAUUAUUAUACAAUUUUAAUAUAUCCGAUAUUGUAAAGAUGACGUGAGUUAUAUUUUUGUAAAUUAGAGUGAACGUGAAGAGUGACUAUUUAUAAAAAAAUAACAUAAUAUGAAUAAAAGUUUAAAAUUGAUAUAAAUAUACCUAUUGUGUAGUAAUAAUUGUUAAAAUUGGAUGACAUAUCAGUCAAAGAAUGAUUAUAGAAAAAUAAAUACAUAAAAAUUUGGUAAAAUACUUGGCGUUAAAACAGAUUUAUACCUACCUGUUGUUGAAAACUUUGGAUGUUGUUAGAUGUUUUGAUAUAUUUGGUUUGGUAGUCAGACUUUUGUACGAAAAUGUGUAGUUAAAAGAACGCUUGAGUUGCUAUGUAGUUUACAGCAGUUUUGCAGUCUUAAGCCCUAAUCAUAUUUUGUCGUGGGUAGUGCCAGAGUAAAUACAAAUGAGUAGGUCAUCUUCAUAUAAACGCACCGAGCGCGGUUUCACGCACGCACACACUGACAAAAUUCGGCGCACCUCACCGCUAAUCCACGCUAAAUUUUGUCAGUGUGUGCGUGCGCGCCGCAUACGUAUUGGCGCGCUCACAUACAAACCGCGCUCGGGCGUUUCUAUGAAGAUGACCUACUCAUUUGUAUUUACUCUGGUAGUGCUCUACAUUUGGACUGGAAACGUCGCGUGCACGAAGCAUCCGUGUUAUUCAAAUAAAAUAUUUGACUUUUUGGACAAGCCAUGGUUAUGUAAGCAAAGUUUAGUGAGCAAGAAGUAAAAAAAUAUGUAUAUUGUGUGUUCGUCUUGGUAGAUCUCGAGGUAACAUGGGUUUGCCAUAGUUUAUUGCUUCGACUUGCCUCAAUUCGUCUGAGGAAAUAUAAUAAUUUCGAGUUUAUAUAAAUAUAUCUUAUUGAUUUGGAGGGUGAGUCGAGUUGAGGUAUCGUCAAUAGGAGGUAUUUCUCACUCAUACUUGACACCAAAAUCGCUGACAACGAUAAUAUUGUAUAGUCGAUAAUGUUUAGAACUAGUUAGUUAAGUACCCUGAUUUAUAUCUUUAUAAAUGUUGUUGAAAAUAAAUAUGUACCUAUGUGCAAUUAAAUACUUAAUGUUAUUGGAGAUUGAUGUUAGAGCAGUGUAGGGGUGCUUACAUGCUGGCAAAUGUUAGGAGUUUUUGUAAACUCUUCAUAUUAUUAUCACGUUCAGUUAAGCUUUCUUGGUAAACAGUAUUUAGCGAAGAGCGUUUAGCAUUUUUUUUUUCAAUUUUACAGAUUUUUUAAAAGUUUUGCAGAUUACUAUUUGAAAACAAGCUCAUGAAAGUGUCUGUUGGUACCUUGAAGCUGGCAGCGGUACCUUUCUUACAUGUUUGUUAUAAGGGAGUGACUAUUUCUGUAGUUUUCGGUGUGGAAUAUUCCAGCUUUGUAUGUAAGCACCCUUAACAAAUAAAUUAUUACCUGGAGUCUGGAACUCUGGUUGACUUAGGAAAUGUAUGUCCCUGACGUUUAUUGUAAACGGAUCUCGAUAAAAUGCAUACAUUUCAUUCAAUAUUUUUUCAUUAGAACAUGUGGCAAUUACUUGUAGUUUUAAAAAUAAUCUUCCCCUAUUGUUAGGUGGUUACGUAUGAAAUUGCUGUGUAGUUUUCAAUACAAAUAAGUAGUAACAUGGUAUUUAUAGGGAUAACGUGUAACUGUACCAGCAAUGUCAUGGGUAGGCAUCUAGUAAGAUCCUGUUUACUGUUUUAUAUUACUGGUUUAUCGAAAUUUUCAUAUUUCGUGGUAUAUAAUACUGUUACUGAAAGUUGUGCAAAAAUUUUCAAGACCUAAUAGCUCAUGUUCUAAAGAUAUUAUGCCAUAAUCUCGAAAAUAAUCUAUGUAUUUUCAUUGAGAGUUGAAGAAAUUUAUAUCGUUAUUCAAUAAAGUAUCUUUUCAAA